rnacentral:rRNA from 1 species
UACGUAGGUGGCGAGCGUUGUCCGGAUUUACUGGGCGUAAAGAGCGCGCAGGCGGUCGUUCAAGUCGCGUGUGAAAGCCCCCGGCUCAACUGGGGAGGGUCACGCGAUACUGAUCGACUCGAAGGCAGGAGAGGGUAGUGGAAUUCCCGGUGUAGUGGUGAAAUGCGUAGAUAUCGGGAGGAACACCAGUGGCGAAGGCGGGUAGCUGGGCCGACACUGACGCUGGAUGCGCGAAACCAGGGGAGCGAACGGG